rnacentral:rRNA from 1 species
UACGGGGGGGUGCGAGCGUUGUCCGGAAUCACUGGGCGUAAAGGGCGCGUAGGUGGUUUGAUAAGGGUGUGGUGAAAGCCCGGGGCUCAACCCCGGGUCUGCCGUGCCGACUGUCAAACUCGAGGGCUGUAGAGGCAGACGGAAUUCCGGGUGUAGCGGUGGAAUGCGUAGAGAUCCGGAGGAAGACCGGUGGCGAAGGCGGUCUGCUGGGCAGUUUCGUGACACUGAUGCGCGACAGCGUGGGAGCAAACAGG